UAUAAUAAUGGUAAACAAACGUAAUCAAAUUCAAAACAACUCAAAGAAAUUUCAAACAAACAAUAAAAUUCUUAAAGAAAUAUUAGAAUGAACACAAAUAUUAUUCAAAUAUAUGUCAAUUCAACCUUAAUUUAAUUCUAGUUAAAAUCCUAUUGAAUUUCACUCAAACUUUAGACCAAACCUAAUUAAAUCUUAAAUCCUAGUAAAUCCUAAACCCUAAGUCAAA
rnacentral:lncRNA from 1 species